rnacentral:rRNA from 1 species
AUACGGAGGGUGCAAGCGUUACUCGGAAUCACUGGGCGUAAAGCGCGCGCAGGCGGGCUGAUAAGUUGGAUGUGAAAGCCUACGGCUCAACCGUAGAACUGCAUCCAGAACUGUCAGGCUAGAGUGUGAGAGAGGAAGAUGGAAUUAGUUGUGUAGGGGUAAAAUCCGUAGAGAUAACUAGGAAUACCAAAAGCGAAGGCAAUCUUCUGGAACACUACUGACGCUGAGGCGCGAAGGCGUGGGGAGCAAACAGAAUUAGAUACCCUAGUAGUCC